rnacentral:rRNA from 1 species
AGCGAACGCUGGCGGUAGGCCUAACACAUGCAAGUCGAACGGCAGCACAGUAAGAGCUUGCUCUUACGGGUGGCGAGUGGCGGACGGGUGAGGAAUACAUCGUAAUCUACUUUUUCGUGGGGGAUAACGUAGGGAAACUUACGCUAAUACCGCAUACGACCUACGGGUGAAAGCAGGGGAUCUUCGGACCUUGCGCGAUUGAAUGAGCCGAUGUCGGAUUAGCUAGUUGGCGGGGUAAAGGCCCACCAAGGCGACGAUCCGUAGCUGGUCUGAGAGGAUGAUCAGCCACACUGGAACUGAGACACGGUCCAGACUCCUACGGGAGGCAGCAGUGGGGAAUAUUGGACAAUGGGCGCAAGCCUGAUCCAGCCAUACCGCGUGGGUGAAGAAGGCCUUCGGGUUGUAAAGCCCUUUUGUUGGGAAAGAAAAGCAGCAGGUUAAUACCCCGCUGUUCUGACGGUACCCAAAGAAUAAGCACCGGCUAACUUCGUG